rnacentral:rRNA from 1 species
GAUGAACGCUGACAGAAUGCUUAACACAUGCAAGUCGAUGGGGAAGUGGUGCUUGCACCAUGGUAACCAUGGCGGACGGGUGAGUAACGCGUAAGGAACUUGCCUGCGGGACUGGGAUAACAGCAGGAAACUGCUGAUAAUACCGGAUAAGGUCAUUAAGCUGCAUAGCUUAGUGAUGAAAGGAGACGCCUGCGGAGAGCCUUGCGUCCUAUUAGCUAGUUGGAGGGGUAACGGCCCACCAAGGCGAAGAUAGGUAGCCGGCCUGAGAGGGUGGACGGCCACAAGGGGACUGAGAUACGGCACUUACUCCUACGGGAGGCAGCAGUGGGGAAUAUUGGACAAUGGGGGCAACCCUGAUCCAGCAAUUCUAUGUGCACGAAGACGGUUUUCGGAUUGUAAAGUGCUUUCAGCAGGGAAGAAGGAAGUGACGGUACCUGCAGAAGAAGCGACGGCUAAAUACGUG